rnacentral:sRNA from 1 species
AUCCGCCUUGGGCGGGGCUCAGGCUGGGCGUUCGUUAGAGCGAACGGACCCGGCCGAUCCCGCGAGGCGAGGUCGGAUGAUGGUGGUGGCCGUGAUGAUGCGGCUGGCGGGUCAUUGUGGCGGGGCUAUAGCGGAUGAGGAGGGGUGGGGGAAGGGGCAGCAUCGGCAGAG